rnacentral:lncRNA from 1 species
UUUUUUUUUUUUUUUUUGGUAUGAAUUUAAUAUGCUUGGGAAGGAGCCACCUGCUAUGGGAAAGGCAGUGGACUUCCUGUUCCCAGCAUAGAGAGGAGGAAGCUUACACACGGAGGCCGCUCUUGGAUGCGAAAUGAUUGAUUCAGGAGGCCUUUUUGCUUUGCCAUUCAGAACCCCCUUGGCAGAUCGGUCUCCUUUCUAAGAAAAGAACAGAGUGAAGGGAAGGGAGCCGGGCUGCUCCAGUAGGGAGUGUGGUGCCCUGAUUUGGCUGAGACGCUGAUGAGAGGAAGAUGUGUUCUGUGAAAGGAUUUUUUUUUUUUUUUUUUGGCACAGUAAGCAAACACUCUUGGGAGUAGUCUGAAGCCUGUUGGGUCUCACACGUAGAGGAAGGACUUCCAUGGUGUGGUUCUGAGGCAGGAACAGCCCUUUCUCUGGCCAUGCUUUGGUCUCGUCGUCCCUACACAUGAACCAGUCUGCUUCAGGAGUAGCUAAGUAUCCAGCCUUGUGUAUUACAAAGUGUUCUAGCUUUAGAGGAAAGGCUGCCACCAAACACCAGGGUAUCCAGGUCUGACUGUCAGUGCAAUAGCUCAGUUUGAAUUGAUCUAGCAAAUUCUGUGAGGCUGGGUCAGGGGAGCCUAUCAUUCCCAUCUUUACCCCUGGGUUUCAGGGCUUUGGACACAGAUUUGUCAGUGAACCCUGCUGAGGUCAGGGGCCAGUCCCAGAGUUCACGGAACCUGGAGAUCCUGAAACAGGUUCCAGCCCUCGUGCUGCAGAAUGGGACGACGAUGUAAGCUCAGCCACAGAAUUGAUCCAUUUGAUCCAUUAACAUCUCCAGAGCUCACAUGCCAAGUCUUCGGGAUGCGGGAUUCAGGAAGGAACUUGAACGUUUUACUAGCCGAGCGUCACCAGCUCAGAUGCAGCUGAGACAUACUCAGUCCAAUCUGACUACUUCUGUACUUUUCCUCUCCACCCCCAGGAGGCUGGGAAUCCCAGUCUGGUUUUGUCGAGAUAAAUUGAAUAGAGUCAUCACAGGCAGGUGACAGUGUCUGCUGGACGGUCCCUGGCAUCGACUGUGUGCCAGCAACUGGGCUAUAUAGCAUCCCCGUCUAGGUCCUGGCCCUAAAACAACCUUAGUUGCUUGAGAUGCUAGAGGAGGACCCACUCAGUCCCGUAGGCCCUUCUGAAAGUCUGAUCCCUGCUAAGAGUCACUACUACCUGGUACAGUACUAACAGGCGGCAGCAGGGGUACUGUAUACAUGAGGUCCUGGGCAUAUUUCAGUUUGCCAGUGCCUCACAUAGAUGGCAGCCUGUCCAGCUGAAGACACGGGGUGUGCUUGGGGGCUCAGAAGCCAAGUGAGGAAUGGGCAUAGCGGUGGGCGUACACCCCAGGAUAGCACUCACUUCUAGAGGGAUAGGUGUGCACCUUCACAGAGGGACAUAUUCUGUAAAUCGCGGCUCCAGCUCAUCAGAGCUGUCCAGUGGUUUUAAAGUGUGCUUUUUAGAGGGAGCAUUUUAUCAGCUUAUUAAUCCCAGAGUCUACUGGAGAGUUUUCUUGUGGAAAGAGUAUUUAAAAAAAAC